rnacentral:lncRNA from 1 species
GGCUCCGAGGGUACCCUGGUGCUAGGGGUCGUCCGUCCUCCCAGCCUGGCAGCUGGGGGUUCGUGUCUGCGCGCGUCCGCGGCGCCUAGGUGGCCUUUGCUCCUCCAGCCCCCAUUGAAGGUGCGCGUCUGUCCACGCGGGAGUGGGGUGCCCUGCUUUGAGACCCGGGGCCUGCGCGUCCUAGCUGGCAAUGCUGGGCAUCUCCCUUGCCACCCCGCCCAGUGCCCAGCGAGGCAGGGGUCAGCAGCACCAGGAGGGGCAUUUGUCUGGCAUCUUCACUGACUUGAGCAGAGGGCAGGAGCUGUUGUGGGAACCAUGAAUCAGGCAGUCUCCGGGAGACUGAAUGUGGCCACUACUGGGUUCCCACACAAUUUCCAGGCAGUAUUCCUUUCUCGGUGGGCAGAGAAGUCCCAGGAGGAAGUACAGCCUUCCUCUCUGCAGCAGCCCCAAAAGGGUGGAAAAGAUGAAGGAGGGUUGAGUCUGUUAUCUUAGAGCAGCCCCAUGUAUUUAUGUGGAAUGAGUCACUGGGCGCAACUUUCCUCCUGGUUCUAAUAGUGCUGAAGUUUCAAUGCAUGAUGUUUCCCUAUUGUUUCAAUUUUUAAUUUUCUACUACUUAUAUUUUUGUUUUCUCCUUGGUUAUAUUAUAGGACGUUUGUCUGUUGCAGUAGUUCUCAAAGUGUGGGCCAGGAACACCCUGGAGCUUCCUGAGACCCUGUGAGUUGGUGAGUUCAAAACUAAGUUCAGCACUGAGUGUUAUAUGUACUGAUGAAUCACUAAAUUCUACACCUGAAACAAAUUUUACCAUAUAUGUUAACUAACCAGAAUUUAAAUAAAAACUUGAAAAGGAAGGAAAAAAACCCAUGAGUUCAUAAUAAUAGCUUUCCCCCCCACUCGCAUUUUCUCACGAAUGUACAAUAGAGUUUUCCAGAGACUUCUGGAUGUGUAAUAUUGCAACAGAAUGAUAGUGUUAAAGAUAAACAAAAUGGACAUUGAUUAACAUGGUGAAAACAGAUUUUAUUCAGUAACUGCUGACAGUGGGGGAAAGCACUGAACCCCACUUGCAUUUGUGCAGAGGUGACUGGGCCUUUUAAAGAAGAAUAAGGGAAUCAGAAGGGGGAGAGAGCAGGACUCAUGUGGAAAACUACAAAGUGUUGGUCAGUGUAAAUAUGAUUGAGCCAGUGUGCUGUUGCCUGGUGAUUAUCAAAGUUAGGGUUCUACCCUCCCACAGAGACUAGAGACAGCAGCCCUCUCCUUUCUGACCAUUCUGUUUCAAAGGAAACUUUCCUUAAAAAAGACUCUGAGUUGUAGGAUGUACACAGACAUCUCAGACAGAAAGAAUUCAGUUCUAAGCUCUUUUUUAGUAAAUGCUAUAAGAAGAGGAGGUCAGGAGCUAUCCUUGGGUGUUCACCAGAACAAACAGCAAAUUCUCCUGGCAGCAUUUCUCAGGGAGGCAGUCAGCAGGCAUUUCACUGGGAGGAUGGUGUCUUUCUAGGGACACAGCAUUGUGCUGCUAGAAGCCAUGCCAGAGUCCAGUUGUCUCCUACUGAAGAGGUUAGGACUGAACUGAGAGUACUAAGAGUACGGAGACUCUGCAAGUCUCAAAGGCACAAGCAGCUAUGGAAACCCAACUGCCAGACAUUAAAGAGAUUUGCAAAAAUAUAAUGCAACACUAGUCACUAAUAUUUACUUGUUUUGGAAACUGUAGUUAUUUUCCAUAAAGUGGGGGUUUUGAAAAAAAAAACAAACAAAACAAAAACAAAAUGUUGUAUUUGUUUUUUAGGGCUACCAUAAAAAAGUACCACAAACUGGGUGACUUAAAUAACAAAAAUGUAUUGUCUCAAUUAUGGAGGCUACAAGAGAUCAAGGUUUUGAUAUGGUUUGGUCCUUCUGAGGGCAUGAGAGAGAUACUCUGCUCAAUCCCUCUUUUCUCAACUUCUGGUGGUUUCCCAGCAAUCUUUGGUAUCCGUUGGCUUGUAGAUCUCUGCCUUCAUCUUCAUAUGACUUCUCCCUGUGUGCACGUCUGUCUCGAAUUUUCCUCUUUUUAUAAAGACACCAGGGGCACUUGGGUGGCUCAGUCGGUUAAGCAUCCGACUUUGGCUCAGGUCAUGGUCUCAGGGCUCGUGAGUUCGAGACCUGCGUUGGGCUUUCUGCUGUCAGCACAGAGCCCACUUUGGAUCCUGUGUCCCCCUCUCUGUCCCUCCCCUGCUCAUGCUCAAGCUCUCUCUCUCUCUCUCUCAAAAAUAAAUAAACAUUGGGGUACCUGGGUGGCUCAGUCAGUUAAACAUCCUACUGACUCUUGGUUUCGGCUUAGGUUAUGAUCUCAUGGUUUGUAAGUUUGAGCCCCGCAUUGGGCUCUGUGCUGGUGGUGUGGAGCCUGCUUGGGAUUCUCUCUCUCCCUCUCUCUCUUUCUGCCCUUCCCUGAUUCCUGCUGUUUGUCUCUCUCAAAAUAAAUAACUAAAUUUUUUUUUAAAAAAAGCAUUCUCAGGGUUUCUGUGUGGCUCAGUUGGUUGAGCGUCCAACUUCAGCUCGGGUCAAGCCCCGUGGGGAGUUCAAGCACCGCGCUGGGCUCUGUGCUGACAGCUCAGAGUCUGGAGCCAGCUUUGGAUCCUCUGUCCCUUUCUCUCUCUGCCCUUCCCCUGCGCGCGCUCUCUCUCUCUCUCUCUCUCUCUCUUUCUCUCUGUCAAAAAUAAAUAAACAUUAAAAAAUUAAAAAAAAUUCUUUUGUUGAAAAUCUUUAAGAAAUAAACAUUAAAAAAAUGAAAGCAUGCUUUGAUAAUAAUUUUGUAUGUAUUCCUCUGGUUUUGAUAUGGAGUAUAUUAUUUUUUUGUCUAAACAAAAUCAGAUUAUUUUUUAUUUUACUUACUUAUUUUAUUAUUUUCCUCUUUGACCAAAUAGCUUUUGGAUGAUAAUUUAUUUUUAAUGUUUAAAAAAUUUUUAAUGUUUAUUUAUUUUUAAGAGAGAGAGAUUGAGAGAGAGAGAGCAUAAAUAGGGGAGGGGCAGAGAGAGAGGGAGACACAGAAGCUGAAGCAGGCUCCAGGCUCUGAGCUGUCAGCACAGAGACCAAUACGGAGCUUGAACUCAUGAACUGUGAGAUCAUGACCUGAGUUGAAGUCAGAUGCUCAACCAACUGAGCCACCCAGUUGCCCCCACAUCUUUCUUUUUAAAACCCUUUUAGGGGGCACCUGGGUGGCUCAGUCGGUUAAGCGUCCAACUUUGGCCCAGGUCCUGAUCUCACAGUUUGUGGAUUCAAACCCCGCAUUAGGCUGUGUGCUGAUGGCUCAAAGCCUGCAACCUGCUUCGGAUUCUGUGUCUCCUUCUCUCUCUGCCCCUCCCCCACUCACGCUCUAUCUCUCUCCUUCAAAAAUAAACAUUAAAAAAAAAAAAUCUUUUUUAAAACCCUUUUAGAGCAUUCUCACACCAUUCCUCUAUGUGCCUGAAAAUCCACUUUCUGAAGAGGGAAAAUCCACAAGUGGGAGGCCUAAAGGAGAUUGGAUGGGAGCGAUGGGGAUAUUUUGGUGGAAAGUGUCCCAGGCAGAGAUCACAGAAUAUAGCAAGACUCUAGAUGCUCAAAGAACUGUCUUGUGAAACUUAAAUAUAUGUAGGUGUAUAUCAUGUUUUCUCCUUACCUUGGCUAAUAUUUUAAACUGGGCGGCUCCACUUUAUGUCCCUUGGGCACCUCAAUAUAACCUGUCCAAAAGCAUACGUGCUGUUCUUGUGCUCCAAGCUUCCUCUUUCAUGUCACCUCAGCCUACUCAUCUUUCUAUAUCAUAAUCUGAUAUAAGAUUAAGAUUCUUUGAGAAAGAUUCCUUUCUCUCUGUUACUCCUCCGUGGGUCACUGAGGAUCCAUGGUGGAUUAAGAUAGUCCCAAAUUCUUUGUGUCUCUUCCCACCAGGAGGUGGGAUUUAUAUCCCCUCCCCCUGUCUGGGCUGCCCCUGACUGACUAUGCAAUAAAAUGUAGCAAAAGUGAUGAUGUGUGACUUCUGAGGCCAAAUCAUAAGAAGUUUUUACAGAUUCUGCCUGGGUCUCCUGGAAUGUUCAUUCUUGGGACACCCUCUCUUAGAACCCAGCCACCAUGCUGAGAGGAUCCUAGGCCACUUGAAGGGGUCGGUGCUCCAGUCAACAGUCCCAGCUGAGCUCACACCUGGCAGCCAGCGCCAGCCUUAAUCUUCACCCUGAGCCUUCAAAUGUCUCCAGCCCUGAUCGCGUUGACCUGAAACCACACAAGAGGCCCUAAGUGAAAAGAACCACCCAGCUACCCAGUCAACUUAUAGAACGGUAAGAAAUUAAAGAAAGUAUUGUUUUAAACCACUGUGUUUGGGAUGUUUGUUACAUAAUAUUAGAAAAGUGAAUCUGUGGCUUGUGGAUGUUUACCUUCCUAAAAAUCUUUCUUGCUUAUUCCUUCCUAUUAGUUCAGUCCCUCAUCGUUGCUUUUAAAAAUAUAAAACACAUGUUUUUUUUUUAAUUUUUUUUUUCAACGUUUAUUUAUUUUUGGGACAGAGAGAGACAGAGCAUUAACGGGGGAGGGGCAGAGAGAGAGGGAGACACAGAAUCGGAAACAGGCUCCAGGCUCUGAGCCAUCAGCCCAGAGCCCGACGCGGGGCUCGAACUCACGGACCGCGAGAUCGUGACCUGGCUGAAGUCGAACGCUUAACCGACUGCGCCACCCAGGCGCCCCUAUAACACAUGUUUUUAAGCAAGUAAUACAUUCUCAUGACUUGAAAUUCAGAAGGUGCACUAUGGUAUCUGGUGAGAUCUUCCUCUUUCCCUUGACUCCCACCACUGACUUCCUUACUUCUAGCAACUACUAUUUUUAGUUUCUUGUAGGUCCUUCUGGAGACACGUUAUGUAUUCACAAGUAAAUAUAUGUAAAUAUUUUUUCAUUCUCUUAUACAAGUGGUGGCUACCACGCAUUGAAUUUUACCUUCCUUUUAUUCAGUUAACAAUAUUCUAGAAAUCUUUCCAUACAAGCAUGUAAGAUCCUUCCUUAUUAUUUUUAACAACUUUAUUGAGAUAUUAGUUCCUCUUCAUCUAUUUAAAGUGGGGUCCCGGGGCGCCUGGGUGGCGCAGUCGGUUAGGCGUCCGACUUCAGCCAGGUCACGAUCUCGCGCUCUGUGAGUUCGAGCCCCGCGUCAGGCUCUGGGCUGAUGGCUCAGAGCCUGGAGCCUGUUUCUGAUUCUGUGUCUCCCUCUCUCUCUGCCCCUCCCCCGUUCAUGCUCUGUCUCUCUCUGUCCCAAAAAUAAAUAAAUGUUGGAAAAAAAAAAAAAAUUUAAAGUGGGGUCCCCAGUUGGAGCAUAGAGACUUUCUGGGGCUGAGAAAAUGACUCUUAGGUUAAGAAUCUCAGUAGACAAACUGGCCUGCAGGAGAGUGUCUGUUGAGAACCACAGAAGAAAUAGCUCAUGACAGAACAAAACAUAAAGAGAUGGAAAUUUUGAUGGAAGGUAAUAGCCUAAGUGAACAGAUCCAGAAAGCCUCAUGGGCCAAUAAUGGGACCCCAGAUGGAGAAUGGGGGACAGAGAGAGAAGCUCAUGAUCAAGGCAAUCACUGAGGAAAGUUUGUUGAUGUGAAGAAACUCUUUGUCAGUGUUGGAGAGGGCUCACCGAGUUCUUGGAAGGCGUGAUGUAUUAAACUGUUUGAAAAUCCAUUUGGUCACAAAUUGUGUGUGUGUGUGUGUGUGUGUGUGUGUGUGUGUGUGUGUGUGUAAAUACAACUAUUGUGACUGUUAUGCCAAGCUUGUUAAUCAUUUCAUGGUGAAUCACUUACCUACUUAAACAGCCAUUUUUUUUUCCUGAGAAAUAUGUUAAAGUUUCCCCAAAUGACUGUACUGUAGAUUUACCCAUUUUUCCUGGUAUUUCUACUAUUUUUCAGUAGUGCCAUUUCUAAAGGUUCAUGGUCAUUUAAAAUCUUUGUAGAUUUUACCUUUUAUUAACAUAAAAUAUCCCUCUGCAGAACAGAGAGGGUUAUUGAAUCAAGUGGUCUGAAACCCUGUAGAGCUCUUCAUACCCCAGGGUCUUUCCAGAAAUUAUACCCCUUGACACUUCUGCAUCAGUGUAUCUCCCUCACCAACCUCUGACGUAUGGGCUUUACAAUUUUAAAAGAAUCCUUGCAAAGCCAAAUGGCAUGGAACAGUGACUGGCCUUUUAAAUUUGCAUUUCCCUAGGUUAGAUCUAUGUAUCUACUUCUAGGCCAUGUUUGAAUCCUUUCUUCUAAGCACUUUGGAUUGUCUUAGCUUUACUUUUUCCAGCUAAUUUCAGACCAUUUGCUUAUUAUAUGAUCAUUCUGUGUUAGUUCAUCUAGCGCUUAUUGGGUGCCCUCUCUGUUCCAGAUUCUCUGGGGCAGACCCAGCUUGGGCCCUCUUCCUGGCAGCUAGGAACAGCUUGACCUCAUGGGAGAAAGAUGCUGGGUUUCUUUGAGCAUCUUUCUGGAGAGCUCAGCACAGCUGUGGCCAAACACCAGGAAAACUGCUGGGGGAGGCAGCCCCUUUGGAGCAGAGCAUUUCCAAGAUCAGGAUACAGUGUGACUGGAAUCCCCAGAUCUGUUAGGGAAAGGGUCCUGCUAUGAAGUGGGCAGAUGUAGAAUCCUCAAAUCUGGACCGAAGAACAAGCUGUUUUCUACCUGGGAUGGCUAGAUCUGUGACCUCAACGUGCUGCAGACAAAGGGCAAUCCCUUCCCACUCCCUCUGAGCCCGGCAAUGUGCGAAGGGUUUCCACAUGUGCAGGAGACACAGAAACCACCAUCGAGCUAUCUACAUCUUCUCCAACUCCAACUAGACAGAUUCUUACACACGAGAAUGUCUGAGAACACAGCUGGGCAUGGCUCUAUGGAGUGACACUUCAUUUUCCUCUCCAGAGAUCAUAGUUCCAGCCAAGUCUUGACCACUAACUCACUCUUUGUUCCUGAACCCCCCCCCCAACACACACACACAGGGUGACUGCUUGAUCCCCAACCCCUGAGAGAGUAAGAUUGCCAUCGCAUGUGUCAAACUCUUCUCUGGAAGUCAGGAGAUCAGUUCCAGUCUUUGCAGUAGGAAGUGAGACCUGGAUAACAUCCUUCAUCUAAGGGGAGGGAACUGAGGAACAGAGAGGUAGGCAUAAAAGUCCCUCAGGCCACACAGCAUGUUCAUUAAGGAAAACUCACCAAAUAUGACUAGUGAGUCUUUAAUCUCAUACAAUUCCUCCUCAAAUCUGCUCCUCUCUAUUUCCUUCAUCAUCCUUCCAGUGCUGGAGGUGAGGUGAGGUGAGGUGAGGUGAGGUGAGGUGAGGUGAGGUGAGGUGAGGUGAUUCUCCAGCGCUUCUACAUUGAACCAAGAAUGGCUAUUAUGUACCAGGAACUGUUUGGCAGUGAAGCAGACAACAGCCCUACGCUUAUGAACUGACAUUUUGUGUGUGUGUGGAAGGUGGGGUGGGUUAGAAUUAUUUUUUUUAAUUACAUAUUUUUUAUGUCAGAUGGUAUUAGGAUGAACUAGGUUCUGUUGAACUAACAAACAAGACCCCACUUUCAAUGGCUCAUGUCUGCUUACAGUUGAUUUACUAGUCAUGCUCUCUGUCCACUGGGGUUGGCAGUUGAGUGGGAGGGGAAAGGGGUGUUGUCCAGCUCAUCAUGGCUAUGAUGGGUGUUGCUGGUUACCAGAGCCUCCUUGUCUUGACUCCCUCUGCAUCCCCUGCAGCAACAAUCACUUGUACAGCGUGACUGAGUUUCUCUCUGUGAGAUCUGCAACCAGCCACCAGUGGUGUGGAGGAGGAGGUGACAGAUCCAAGUGUCAACUGCUGCUGCUGCUGCUGCUGAUCAACUGCUGAGAUGAUGAUGGGAGUUUAAGUUCACUGUGAUUUCCACACCGAGAAUUUGAGGACCAACAAGGAGCUCGGUGGGCUGGGGCUCAAGGAAGACACAGCUCUGGUACGUACGUGGAUGGCAAGCAGGAUUACAGGGACAAGAGGACAGAUUGUGAAAACAGAACAUGCAACCUGAAAGUGGAGCAAGGACCUAAAUAUCCAGAACUCCUCCAUCAGUUCUGUUUCUACAAGAAUGAAUAUGAAUAGUGUAAAUAAUUCUUGGGUGAUGUUAUAUACACAGAGCACAUUUGUUGACAGCCAGCUGGCAAAAUUCAUACAGCCUUAGCAUCACAUCCAUAAGAAUUAAGAUGCCAAGAGCUGAUGAUGUUGAAAGAAAAUCAGAAGCUUCCACAGCCCCCAGAAGGACAAAUGUACAAUUAGUGUAUCUCAGAGUCAUCUUAGGUCAAGAACAUUCUGCUCAUGCUAUCUUCAUUAAAUACCAUGAUGCAACAUGUCUGCAGCUGGUAAACUGGACCUGAACAUUACUAAGAAUGUUUAACAUUCUUAGUGGUGUUUAACACACCGGGGCACCUAGCUGACUUAUGGUAAAGCAUGUGACUCUUGAUGUCAGAGUUGUGAGUUCAAACCCCAUGUUAGGCAUAGAGCUUACAUUAAAAAAAAAAAAAAAAAAAGUUUAAACAUAAAUGUAUGUUUUAUGUUUAGGGUAUUUAUAGAAGAAAAAAAGACAAUAUCAUUUUUUUUGUUUUCUUAUCAAGGUACUGUGUCAUUUAAGCCUGGAACGAUCCAAAUGGGAUUUGAGUCUACAAACUGAAUCAUGGCAAGGAGUGUCAAGUCUGAGGUAUGGAGGUGUGAUUCUGAAAACCAGCCUCAAGCAGGAUUUAUAUGAACCGUGUGUUUUACCCACUUGAGCAGCCAGGGCAAUAGUCUGAACUACUAAUGGAACAGGUACUGUGAAUACGGCUAAAUAUAUUCAUGUUUGAAGAGGCAUGAGAGCUCGCACAAAGAAGACUAAUAUGGCAGCCUAGGCUCCACCUGUUACAAGUCCCGUUUUCAGGGUUGGCCUGGCCCUUGGCUGACACCUGGCAACUUGGCUUUUAGAGUUUUGUGUGUAUCCCAACUGAUAAGCAUGUCUCACUGUGCCCAGAAUAUGCAAACGAUGUGAUUUACACUGAACACCUGCUUUCCUUCUGGGAGUCUGGAAUGUGGUAUGUUUUAGACAGAAGGUGCCUACUUGCCUGGUCUUCAGUGCAUUGUGUGACCCCCUCAGAAGAGGGAGAGAGAAGAGGGAGAGAUUGCAUCACAAUCUGUCCUCUUGUCCCUGUAAUCCUGCUCGGUGUGGAAAUCACAGUGAACUUAAACUCCCAUCAUCAUCUCAGUGCAUUGUGUGACCCCCUCAGAAGAGGGGAGAAGAGAAGACAGAAAUCCUGCGCGUGGAUUUCCCCAGACUUCACCUUUCUCCUUAUGGUCCACCUGUGUGUCCUUGCUACAUCACUACAAUAAGCCUUAGCUGUGAGUAUGAGGAUAUGCUGAGUCUCAUGAAAUCGCCUGGAAAUCUCUGGAUGUGGGGAUGGUCUUGUGGCCCUCAACAGUUUCGCUGCCUAGUUGUAUCAAAAUUAUGUGUAGGAUUAUUUUGAUAUCUGUAUUCUAAAAUGGGGGAGGGGAGAAUGGAUUUCUGUUUCUCGUUAUUUUUUUUUUUUUUUAAUUUUUUUUUUCAACGUUUAUUUAUUUUUGGGACAGAGAGAGACAGAGCAUGAACGGGGGAGGGGCAGAGAGAGAGGGAGACACAGAAUCGGAAACAGGCUCCAGGCUCCGAGCCAUCAGCCCAGAGCCCGACGCGGGGCUCGAACUCCCAGACCGCGAGAUCGUGACCUGGCUGAAGUCGGACGCUUAACCGAUUGCGCCACCCAGGCGCCCCUCUGUUUCUCGUUAAAAGGAGCCUCUGGGUCACAUGUAAUAGAUGUGGUAUCUAGUGUUUUUACCAAAAAAGGAAAAAAAAGCCACAAACUUAAAUAAAACUAACAAAGAGGAAAGCGAUAUGUGGAUAUACGAUUUUGAGAUUACUAUUUACAAAAUGUUGAAAAAAAAAUAGGGGUGCCUGGCUGGCUCAGUCAGUGGGGCAUGCGACCUUAAUCUCGGGUUGUAAAUUCAAGCCCCACAUUGGGUGCAGAGAUUACUUAAAAAUCUUUAGGGGCGCCUGGGUGGCUCAGUUGGUUAAGCAUCUGACUUAGAUUCAGGUCAUGAUCUCACUGUUCAUGAAUUCAAGCCCCACAUCAGGCUCUGUGCUGACAGCUCAGAGCUUGGAGCCUGCUUCGGAUUCUGUGUCUCCCUCUCUUUCUGCCCCUACCCCGCUUGCGUUCAGUCUCUCUCUCUCAAAAAUAAACAUUAAAAAAAAUUUUUUUUUUUAAUCUUUAAAAAACAAAACAACCAAAAUGUUAAGGAAAAAAUAGAAAGUGUCCUUGAACUAUCCAGGUAUCUAGGUAUCACCUCAGCCUGACUAAGUGGACUCUCUGAAGAUGGGCCCAGGAGCCACAAUUCUAAUAGCUCCUCUCAGGUGGGUCUUAUGCAUGUUUUGAUCAGGAACCACUGACCUCUGAGUAUGAGAAUAAUUCGGGUGGAAAGGGGCUCAGGUUCUUAUUUCAGAUGAGCCCACUUCUUGGGUCCUAGGACUUGUGUGGGGGUAGAAUACCUAUGAGAGCAAGGCUGAAGCACUGGCUGCAUAUGCAGGAGCUGCACCCUUCAAUCCCCAGUCCCUCCAUCUCCUUCUUCUAAUUCCCACUGGGCUUAGUCUCCAGGCACACAUAACCACCACGUGUGGAGUCCCCACUAUGGCUUGAGGACACGGUGGCAUUGCACACUCUUCUGUACCCAAGUCUCCAGUAGCGCCUUCAUUGAAUGAGGCUGCUCUCGUGACUUGCUGAGUGCAGAAAUAUCUCAGAUGUUUUAGCCAACAGGAAUUGUCAAACGAUGUUCACUCCGCUGGGUCUGUUGGGCAGGUCCUUCCCCCCAGGCUCUGCCAUCUUCUGAGAGUUAUGCAAUAGCAGGACCAACUAUCCAAUCACAAGCAAAGUUCCCAUCUGUUCUGUCCAGGCUGCCUAGCCAAGGUGUUUUCCACCUCAACCUCAGAGUCUCAUAUGAACCACAGCAGCUAUACUACUUGAAGUGUUUUAUGAUGGAAACCAGGUAACUGCCAGAGUGACCUUGGGGGAAGCACAUUCAGUACUUGGUUACACAAAUUCACACAACUGUCUUGCCACAUCUAGUUGUCCCAGGCUAUCAGCACCUUUCCAGGUCCCCACUCUGGGGCUGCCUUCUGCUUCCUGGUGAUAAGGCUGCUAGAAAAUCAAGUCUUGAAAGACUAAGCCAUUCCCCUUUAAUUCCAGGGACUUCUAAGAAGCCAAGGAGCCUUCCUUCUUCUGGAAUGAAAUCUAAUUGCUAAACAGAAAAGUCUGACAUCUUUCUUUUUGCUCUUGCUUUUUAAAUUGUCAAUCUACUAUGACAGCAACACUGAAUCAAAAGAAGGAAAAUUGUACCUAAUCCCACAAAUCAAUUGCAGAUGUCCUCAUGUACUGUGGUUUUUGCUCACCUAUAGUUACACAUUGUUAAUAAUUUGUUACCCAAAUAAGGAAUGUACCACCAGGGAAUGAAGUACUACAGAAGGUAUAAAAUGAAAUCCGGGUCUCCUGCCCUACCCUACUCAACAGUCACAUUCCAUCAAUGACUAUUAACCAUUUCUUUCUUUUUUUAACCAUUUCUAUUCCAGUUCUUCCUGAGGCCAUCUCUAUAAUUCUGAUCUUUUAUGGCCUAUAGACUUAACUGACUUCCUGCUCUGGUAAGCAGUGUAGAUUUGGCUCAGACUGUUGCUCCUCUAUUUGCAUCUAAUUUGUCACAUUACCAUUUUGAGCCCUAGUUCUAGUCUCCUAAAUAACCUAUCGUAUUAUAUUUAAAAGUCCACUUCCUAAGAUGAGGAUACAGGGAUACUCUGUCUCCCCACUACGUCUCUUUCUCCUACUUUACAACAGCUGCAGACUGUACCAUCACUGUUAGUGCUGACAACAGUGGUGCUCUACUCCUGCCGUUAUGAAACCCUCACAUCACAGCUCUGGGUUUCUUUCUUUAAAAAAAGCAAAAAACAAACAAAAAACCCCCAGUAUCUCCUGUUUAUAUCUAUGCAAAUACUGUUCAGUGAAAGACCAAAACAAUCUGAUUAUAUAUCUCUUUCUUUUAUUCCAAUAUCAUGAGUCUUCUGCCUCUUCUAAGAAGAAAUAUUAGCAUCAGGGUCAAAUGCAUGGAUCUUAUUCAUCAUAGAUUGUAGUUGGCAAGAUCUGAAGAUCUUUCAGCUUUCCUUCCCCUUCUCUUCCCUUCUCCUUUCCUUUUCCUUCCCUUCUCCCCUUUCCUUCCUCUUUUCUUUCUUGUCCAAUAAUCUCACUUUUAAUUUCAUAGUCUAUUCUUGUUUUCAUAAUUCUCUUUUAAAAAGAGCAUCUUGGGGGCGCCUGGGUGGCGCGGUCGGUUAAGCGUCCGACUUCAGCCAGGUCACGAUCUCGCGGUCCGUGAGUUCGAGCCCCGCGUCGGGCUCUGGGCUGAUGGCUCAGAGCCUGGAGCCUGUUUCCGAUUCUGUGUCUCCCUCUCUCUCUGCCCCUCCCCCGUUCAUGCUCUGUCUCUCUCUGUCCCAAAAAUAAAUAAACGUUGAAAAAAAAAAAUUUUAAAAAAAAAUAAAAAUAAAAAGAGCAUCUUGGAUUUAUUUUUCACUUGAAAUUAUUUUUUGACCCACUCUUAGAAUAAAGCUUUUAAAUAUUUGGUUCCCUGAAUAUCUGUUCUCUUUGGGGUCGGUUUUUGUUUCAUUUUAGAUAUUUUUUAUUUUAUGUUGAAAGUUUUCAUCAUUUUUCACACCUUGGCUCCCACCCAUAGUGAAAAGACUAUCAAAGAAGAUGGGAAAUUCCAUAGGUGGGUGAGACUGGUUUAAUGGCAUGCUUUGCUAUAGGGUGAAAAGUGCAAGAAGUAGUUGUUAGGAUGAAGGUCCUUAUAAUGCCUAAACAAGGCAGCUUUUGUUCUGGAACAUAAUCCACCUAAUUCUCUAGUCCUUCAAACUGUUUCUAGCACAUAACUUUCUCCCUCCUAUAUUUUUUGCUUGCCCACAGCCAGAUACUUACUGCAAGACAAGAAAAAAGGGGGAGGAGGGAGAGGAAAUUCAGUUUCAGAACAGAUUUUUCAAUUAAUCCUGUUUUCUCCCACACCUCUCAGUGUACAGCUCUGCCAGGGGACUGUGGCCUCUACUGCAGCCCUCUUCACAGGACCCUGGCUUCAGCCUUUCCCACUCUGCAUCUCCAGCUGAUGCCCUCACAUCUGC